rnacentral:sRNA from 1 species
UGUGUGUGUAAUUUGUGCAUGUAAAUGCUGAUGCACCCUCCCCUACUCCCUCAGAGUCCAGACAGAAGUCUUGGAUCUUAUGGAGCUGGAGUUACAGGUGUUUAACCACAGCAGUGGGAACUGACCAACAUAAUGGACAAAGGAGGACUUAGCAUGGCACUGGCUCAGGCUAGGUGAGGCCAAGACUGGGAAAAAUCAGGACUAUAGGUAGGAUGCUUUUAGGACUGGUAAUAUGUCUAUGAUUAGGAGUCUCAUAAGAAAGGAGAGACGCUGAGAGCAAUGUUAAUGUUACAGUUGUUUGGGAAAUAUGAUGAAAGGACAGCCAUUUUUGUGGUUUUGAAAAUGUUCAUAUUUUUGCUAAUGUUCAAACGUAAUCAUGGAGUAUUGCAUUUUGGUUCUGGUUCCCUGAGGUCAUGGAAAGGUCUUGACAGAUGCUGGUAUUCUGGGAAGGGAAAUAGAAGAGGUUAUCUCCUCUUUGUCACUAUGUGUGUGUGUAUCAUAAGCACACCCUUUGUUAUUUUCAUGACAUUUUAUAAACGAAUGAUAACACUUGACACAUACAAUUCUGCAAGUAGCUGUUUUACUCAACUUUGUAGUUGAGACCAACCAUAAUGUUAGAAGACAUGGCUUGUGUCUCUUUUGCUCUGUUUGUAUUGAACUAAAGAAAGGUCAUGAUGCUUCUUGUUCAUUAAAAAUGGUGCUGACACAACAGUUCAGAGUUUCAGAAUAGUUUUUCAAAGAAAGAAAACAGGUGCCCAAAAAGUAAGGUUGUACUCAAUGCUAUGGAAGGACAUAAAAAACAAGACAAAGGGUUACUCCCUGCCAAAAUCUGGGACAAUAUGGGCAGUAAAAAAAAAUGACAGUAACUGUAGAAUUCUAAACCAUAAAAUAAAAAUAUCCAUAGGUACAUUGGUUCUCAAUAAAAAGUUGAGCAUUACUAAAUAAUCACCCAAGCUAUAAAUAUUUUCACUUUGUUCAGCUUGCAGCUAUGCUACAGUUUAGUUUUUAUGUGGUGCUUUUUUACUAAGAUUUUUAUUUCAUGUAUUUCAUGAAAGAACUAUGAAAUAACUUGCUACUCAUAAGACAUAAAAAUAUUUUCCUAUAGGGCUGUAGGCUUUUGUUUGUCACAUCCUGAUUACCAAUAAAUCUGUAAGUUGUUUUAGCUUUUGGUAUAAAGAAAUGAAUUUAAUACCUUGCACCCCUGCCAUGAGGGUAACCACGUGUCACAGCAGAAAGGAAUGCAUGCACCUUAUCAAACAAAAAAUUGGCUUCUAGGUUUGAUUGUGUUAAAUACAAACAGCAUGUAAGAGGCAUGAAUCUCUAACAUUAACCUGUAUAUAUUGCUAAUAAAUUUUAUUCUGGGUUAUUGA